rnacentral:tRNA from 1 species
AGCGAGGUGGCCGAGUGGUUAAGAGCGAUGGACUGCUAAUCCAAUGUGCUGCUGCAGCGUGAGUUCGAAUCCUAUCCUCGUCG